UAAGAUAGUGCAGGAGCAGUGAAUGU
rnacentral:piRNA from 1 species